rnacentral:rRNA from 1 species
UACGGGGGGUGCGAGCGUUGUCCGGAUUCACUGGGCGUAAAGGGCGCGUAGGCGGCCCGGUCAGUCGGUCCUUUAAGCGCGGGGCUCACCCCCGUGGGGGGACCGGGACGGCCGGGCUGGGGCGCGGCAGAGGGGGACGGAAUGCCGGGUGUAGUGGUGAAAUGCGUAGAGAUCAGGAGGAACACCGGUGGCGAAGGCGGCCCACUGGGCCAGCACUGACGCUGAGGCGCGAAAGCGUGGGGAGCAAACAGG